UUUAAACUCUACAAGCUUUACCCUCAGGGGCCACGCGACCUCCUGUAUUAAAGCUCCUUCCUUCUGCUCCCCACGUUUCCACUGGGGCAAGGUGAACAGUCCCAAGGGUCUUUCUGC
rnacentral:lncRNA from 1 species